UAGGGAAUAUUGCACAAUGGGCGCAAGCCUGAUGCAGCAACGCCGCGUGCGCGAUGAAGGCCUUCGGGUCGUAAAGCGCUUUUCUGGAGGAAGAGCAAGGACGGUACUUCAGGAAGAAGGAUCGGCUAACUACGUGCCAGCAGCCGCGGUAACACGUAGGAUCCGAGCGUUAUCCGAAUUUACUGGGCGUAAAGCGCGUGCAGGCGGUUUGGUAAGUUGGACGUGAAAUCUCCCGGCUCAACUGGGAGGGGUCGUUCAAGACUGCCAGACUAGAGGGCGGUAGAGGGAGGCGGAAUUCCCGGUGUAGUGGUGAAAUGCGUAGAUAUCGGGAGGAACACCAGUGGCGAAAGCGGCCUCCUGGGCUGCACCUGACGCUCAGACGCGAAAGCUAGGGGGAGCGAACGGGAUUAGAUACCCCGGUAGUCCUAGCUGUAAACGAUGUGGACUUGGCGUCGGGUGGUUCAAAUCCGCGGUGCCGCAGCUAACGCGCUAAGUCCACGCC
rnacentral:rRNA from 1 species